AACGUUUUACUAUGAUUGGUUUAGUCUGCACAUAAUGCAAUGUAUAACCCAAUCAUGGAUGGAUACGCGUAAUGCGCACAAAAAGACACAUCCGUGAAGGAAUUCGAUUAUCUGGCCCGGGUUGGUCCCUACCCCAUUUAGAUUUCAAUUUAAAAUGGUUAAAGAGCGACUGCCCCUAAAAAAACAGCGAUGUGGCAUUGAUAUGAGUCAGAAACAUGUAUUAUAGUGUCAAACUUGACUACAAAGUGUAAAAAUAAUAAUUUUGUUCAUGAAGUCAGUCUUGUCUAAACCCGAGUUUAGAACCUCGGGGCAUCACACCGAGUAAAUUAAGUUUGGGUUUCGAUUACAAUUAUGUCGAUAAAUCAUGCCCCUUUUGUCAAACUCCACGUGUAAAUUGCCCCUCCCACUUCGUUCCCCUUCAUGGAAUGUAGCUCAGUUGUUUCUUCGUCCUAAACCAAAGCGAUCAUGGCCGUUUGAGACUGAAAAGCCCUAUACGGAUUGACCAUGCAAAGCAUGCUUCCAGCUAGGUUGAAGAGGAAGUGCAUAGUUGGGUGCCAGACUGAUCCCGUGGUCAUGAACGGAUGCUGGAACCUACCAGAAGGAGCAAAGCUUGUCAGGCAAGACCUAAGAAUAAGUGUGUUUCACAACAAGUACUCGUGACACCUCAUCCAUUGUUGCCAGUCUCCCUCAACUCUGAUGAAAAGGACACGCCAUCAUGAGGCAUCUGACCGUGACCCGAGUUACUGCCCUGACGACAGAGAUGGCUUCAUCGACAGGCACUUCCAGUCAACACCACCUAAUAAGAUUGGCUGCUGCAGUUGUUUGAGAGAUGUCCAGUUUGCAGCUGAACAUGCAGCAUAGAAAAGACAAGCAAGGGGUCCCUCAUCAGCAUCAUGCAGACAUGCCCUCGCAGUGAGCAUUCCUAUGAAUGGAACAUGUUGUGGCUGACAAGUAUCUAACCAGCAACCUUCACCUGUCCGCGGCAAAAGCUUUCACAGGAUCAUCAUUUGUACAAAUACAAACAUUUCAUUAUUUUGAUACAUUUGAUACCCCAAUUGUGAAACAAUUAUGUAAACUGACAGUUGUUGCUCCCAAAGCACAGGGGUGGAGGGACUGCGGCCCAGUCCUCACACAGCAGUCAGAGAAGGAGAUGUUCACCCCUCCGAGUCCAGACUGCAAAUUAAUCAAUCGCUCAUGUGGGAAGCCACCGCUGUCUGAUCCCACCAUGGCUUACAUAAAAAAAAUACAAUUAACCUGAAUUAGGGCCAGACUAGUUACCAUAAUUUUCUCACAUUGCCAUUGACAGUUUUUUCUAUUGUCUCUUUUUGGUCCAUUUAGAUUGUUAAUGUAGAUUGUAUACAAAUUUUAUAUUUUUUAUGUUAUGGUUAAAAAUGUUCAUGUUUUACUGUGACUUGUUGUAGGCUCCUAAGUGGACCAUAGGUUAAAAACCAAACCAAAUUAAGAAAAAUAAAAAACAAAACAUAAAAUAAACAACAAAGUAACUUCGCCAGUGUCUAUUUUGGGUCACUUUUGCCGGUCCCAAGCCCGGAUAAAAGAGGAGGGUUGGAAUUGUGACAUAAAAAAAAAAAAAUUUCAUUUGUAGUUCUAAACAUAGUGUAACGACCCUGGGUUUAUAAGCUCGGAAAUCGACUGCCGCACAAGCAUGCUUUUGCGCGCUGGACUUCGGGCUAGAAGGUCGAGGGUUCGAGACCUGCUCCCUGCCUGUUUCAUUACAUUGGUGUCAGAAGUGAUCGGACCUUGCAUCCACGGCAGUCUGUGUGCUUGGCCGGUGAGCGCGUUCCUGUAAGACGUAGAGCGCGAGGACGCGCUCUUUGAAAGGAGGGAGUAGUGUAACGACCCUGGGUUUAUAAGCGCGGAAAUCGACUCUGCCGCACGAGCAUGCUUUUGCGGCACAGUCGAUAGCACGCUGGACUUCGGGCUAGAAGGUCGAGGGUUCGAGACCUGCUCCCUGCCUGUUUCAUUACAAUAUUUAGGGUGUUUUUUUACUCACCUUCUGUCUCUCCCACGACGUUAUUCCUCUCCUACAGCGUCCAUCACAAUUACAUUAACAUGGCCAAUUAUGUAAAUUAGGUGAUGACGCCAUUUCGCGACUUUUAGGACAGCCAAUAGCUACUUUCCUUACUGAGGAUUUGGCAACACUGCAAGCCAGUCAUCCUCACUACAAGCCCUCUGCCUCAGCACUGCAUUCCUUUAUUCCAUUACACAUUGCUUUCAGGUGACUCUGUUUUAAAAGAUCAGUAACUAGGUGAAACAAAAAGAACCAGUAGCUAGGUGAAACAAAAAAGCUGGUCCAGAUGCAUCAUUCGAACAAUAAUAAUUAGCCAGCCAGCUAACGUUAGCUAGCUAGCCAAGCCAAAAAGAAUUGACCUGCCAGUCCAUCUGCAAAUUUGUAAUAAAACUGAAUGUUAUCAAAAACAGAUAAAACAUUUAAAAACACUUACAUGUACAUAGAGCUCUCUGCUUAGGCUGCUGCCAUGGCAACAACAUAGCUGUAAAUUUGAAAAACCUAGCAACUUGGGUGUGUUCGUAAAUUCAUUCUGGAGUGCGCUUUGGGCGUUGUCAGACUGUUUGUAAAUUCAGAGCGUUCUGUCUGUCAGUCUGUCAAGGAGUUGGGUUGAUCCGAGCGUUCUGACCUCAACCGCAGUCAAGCACCAAAGCUAACGUUGGCUAACUUGCUAGCUACGUCCAGACCAGUGGCGAUUUUAACAUGUAAAUCUUGGUGGGGAAAACUCAAACAUUAAAAAAAUAAAAGUAAAUGCAUGCCAGCAAAGACACUACACAACACUAAAAAAUACAUUACUUGCACUAUAACGGUGGCAAGCGGUGCCCACAAACUUUUACGGCCUACAUAAAGCUGGCCCAACAGCAAAGCUUUCUUUCCAGCACAAUGGAGUGAAUCCUUUACCACCGCUACACCUGGCUGUCAGUGAAAAAAUUAAUUCAGCCUCGUUUAAAAACAUAGCUGAUAUGGCUGACUUGCUUAAGCAAAUAUGGUUUCUUCUUACAAUUUAGAUGUACAAACGAUGGCAUAAGGGAACGAUAAGAGUCAUUCCGUAAUUUCGAUUAAGAAAUUAAUGAGCGAAUGACAAAGGAUGUAGUCAAUAUAGUAACUAUGUGUUCAGCACUUUUGAAAUGUACAGCAACAGAAUGCAGAACGUGGGCUGCUCUUACAGUAUUUAACCUGUACACCAAGUCAGAACCGUAGGAUAAAUAAAGGGGGCAUAUAAGCAGGCAAUGAAAGCUCUUACAAUAUUAGAUUAUGACAUUUCUCAAAAACAGGUUGUAGGCUACAUGUGCACCGCAAAAUUAAAAGGUGAAAAUAGACCAAAUUAUUAGGGUGAGGCACAUGGGCUACUAACAGCUUACCACACAACACACACUUAGUAUUACUUUCUUAGCUACAGUAUACAUAUCUCCCUUGCAUAUUGCAUAAUUUAUGCAGCAGCAUACAAGACAUUUUUGGACUCACCUUGGCUUCGGAUGUGCUCAUUUAAACAUGAAGGUGGUUUUGUCAUCAAACUUUGUCAAACACACAGCCACCAUUGAAUAGCAGGCUACUGGUUGCUUUGCACUGCUUGCAGUCAGCCACUGAUACCUUACAAACGACUCAUUGUUGAAUUUGCAAUUUCCAACUUGUUGUGUAAUCUUUAUGUCCAAUGGCCGAUGAGCACCGAUACGCUUUAUCUAUAAUUUCUCUUCAUAUGACAACGAUUAAAAAGCAUUUGCCAGUAGAUUGUCAACUUGAUUCAUGAUGAUGACUCCUAGCUAAGACUUUGAAAGUAAGAUGUUGACAUGAACAGUCCAAUCUAAACUACUGUACAUAUAACGUGAUUUGAUGUCAUUUUAUCUGUGGCCAGUGAUCUUGAGCCUUCUUGGAAGGGCACUUGUAAUAUAACUCUAUGGCAUUUCAAUUUCAGCCAAAGGGCUGAAAUUUUGGAUGUCUAUUAUUUCUCCUUCUCUAAGGACAUACACUUUGCGAUGGCGUAGUGUCCUCAUGAGUGACAGAACACUGAACCAAUCACGGCGCAAUGCUCCUAUUUUUUGCUGGCACGCCCCACCACCACAGAAAGCACUGAGAUAUGCUGAAACGCCUGCAUUUUGGAGCUGCCUUACUCAAGAAAACAAAUAAUUGAACAUGUGUGUAUGCAGCUUUAUUAACUCACUGAUAUAUAUAUAUUUUUACAUUGUUUGUAAACUGAUAUGUGACACGUAAUAAUUCCAAAAUAACAUGCAAGCCCCCUUUUUUUUUUGCUAAAAAUGUGGGGCUCAAAACAGCACAGCACAAAACAACACGGUUACCAACGCUCUAGAAAACAUGAAAACAGCCUAAAAGACUCUGCACCACCUGCCCUGAAUGACGGGUCGCCACUGGUACAGACACAAAUGAGAGAACACCUCACUCUGAUUAUUUUACUCGCUGUAGCAGAGCUGGUUAGGCUGUUUUCAUGUUUUCCAGAGCGUUGGUAACUGUGCUGCUGGCAAUAAUUUAAUUAGGCUUUUUUGCCAUAUUCAACCGGUGCUGGGUGUUUUUAAAUUCAUCAGUUAUUCUGCGCUCUGGCACACUCAGACAAGACUGCUCUGAAAUCGGAAUAGAUAGCCAGAGCGAAUUUACAAAUGCACCCAUUAUCUACUUUAGCAAUGAAGCCCGAGGAGUUAUGGUAUAUGGCCAAUAUACCACGACUAAGGGCUGUUCUUAUGCACAACGUAAUGCGUAGUGCCUGGACACAGCCCUUAGCCGUGGUACAUUGGCCAUAUAUCACAAACCCCUGAGGUGCCUUAUUGCUAUUAUUAACUGGUUACCAAUGUAAUUAGAGCAGUAAAAAUACAUGUUUUAUUAAAUACAUGAAUAAGGACCCCUUAAAAUUAAGAGUUACCAAAAUACCUGAUACAAUAAAAAAUGUAUAUAUGAGUGCCUUCUAAAUUUCACAAUAAAUUGAAUACCUGAAUUCCUACAAAAAUCACUGAACUACAUUCAUUAUUUGUCUGUGCCAGUAAAAGGUUUCAUGUGCUAUAAUUCAGAUGUCACUACUUCCGCCGAAGUCGGUUCCUCUCCUUGUUCGGGCGGCGGUCGGCGUCGCCGGUCUUCUAGCCAUCAUCGAUCCACUUUUCAUUUUCCUUUUGUUUUGUCUUAUUUUCCCACACAUCUGGUCUCAUUUCCCUCAUUACAUGUUGUGUAUUUAACCCUCUGUUCCCCCCAUGUCUUAGUGCGGAAAUGUUUAUUGUAAGUGCAUGUUUUUGCUGGUGCGUAACGGUUUUUGUACCCAUUUGUUUGUUCUGGUUUCCGGUGUUUUUUAUGAAUAGAACUGCUCCGUUGAUUACCCAGUUUUGCUCUCCUGCGCCUGACUUCCCUGCCGCCAGUUACGCACUCCCUUACAAGAUAAUAUCUGAUGGAUUAGAAAAUUCAAAAAGUUUGGAGUAUCUUCAGCCUUUGUCCAACUGUUGCAUUUAUUGGAAUUGUUUUUAAAACCUAAAACCUACGGUUGCUACUGAAAGGCUGCAAGAUUGAUCAUCCCACUGUUAUUGAUCUAGAUGAAUGUAGGGAAUAUAUUAAUAGACAAGGCAGUGACUUUGGAUGGAAAGUUUGCUGAGAAGAGUUGGAGGUUGGCCCUUCUGUGGUGAUGGGAGAUGUUCCUCCAUGUUUACUCCUGGAUCCUGUUGAUCUAAUCUUGAUAGAAAAAAAUAAAAUAUUGGUCAGAAGGGAGUGGCAUAGGGGAACUGGUUGACAAUUACAUUAGUAGAAGCUUUAAUAGUUUUUUAAAUCAAGGACCCAGAUAGUGGUCAUACAGGAGCAGGUGUUUACAUUCCUGAAUUUGAUGUGGAGAUAUGUUGAAGACUUACAGAUGAAAAUAAUAAUAAUAAUUUAAAAAAAUUAUUUAACCUUUAUUUAACUAGGCAAGUUAGUUAAGAGCAAAUUCUUAUUCACAAUGAUGAACUAAUGAAUUGUCAGUAUACUGAGUUGAACUGUUGGCGAUAGUAACUCCUCUCCAGUGGGUGGAGGACACUCAAACGGUCAGAAAUGUAGUAUGCUCAGAUUCCCUGUCUGUAUCAGUUGUGUGCAUUCAUGUUUGCCAGGUAAAGCCAGGCUUCCCCAAAUAUUUGACCAAUAAAAAUCUAAAAAUGUAAUAAUUUA